CCCAAAUGUGGCAGCUCCUCGGCGGAUACAGAAGGCUCCAGAGCAGCCUCUGAGGGUUUGUCAAAAUACUUAAAAAGCCGCAAAGACCCUGAGGCUUUGCUAGUGGGCAGGAAGUGAGCAACCUUUGCAGUAGCAUCUUUCCGCUGCAUAAUCUGAAAUACACUUUUGUAACUGCUGCCUGGGACUCGGGUUCUAUGUCUCUCAUCCUGGCACACAACCACCGGGUAAGUCUGACCUGUCCAAAACCUGUUCAGCCCCUUCAGUAGCGUAUUCAAGAGUAACGUGGCAGGGAGCUCCGUGUAACUGCGUGAGCACGUAUCUUCUUGUGAUCCCAUCCCCUUGGUGGUUUGCCCUCUGCCAAGAAUUUACUAGUGACCAUUUCUUUAGCCUUACCUGUCGGAGUAAGGAAAAGAGGAAGUUUGCUUUGAAGUCGAGUGUCAGAGGCUUGUAUGAGGCAGCCUGCACCAGGAGAGGUCACUGCCCAUGCAUCGUUCGUCUUCGGAGACCUCCCAUUGCCUGGUCAUGCCACUGCCCAGCUCCUCUCCUGUCUGUCUAUCACUACUUUCCUGACAACUCCAGCCCAGGUCUUGUAUUUAUUACCUGGAAAGGCAGGUGCAGACCUUCAGGUGAGCAACCUGGUGUCACCACAGUCCCCCUUGUUGCCGACCAGACUUGGACUGUCAAGUUUAACUGAAGGGACCCCCAACGACUUCCUGGCUCUGUCCCUCAGACCCUCCGCUGCCAGCAGGACCCCCACCAGACCACCUCGCAUCCCUCCCUCACGCCUCGCACCGAGCAGCGAUAACCCGCAGCCGGGACCCAACGCACCACAGAGGGGAUAUUUUUUUGUGCUGGAAAUGUAAUUUAAGGGAGGAGAGCUUAACCUGUGCAAGACCUGCUCAAAUCCAGAGAGGAUGAGCACCAGCCUUCAGGAGACCAGACCUCAAAGGAGCCUCUCUUAUUAAGGGAGAGGGAAUAAUACCUCGCAUUUCUUUACCACUUGAGAAAAUCUUUCCGAGACCGAUCGCCUUAUUUCACCCCUUCAGCCAAGUGGAACUUCCCAGGGACUAUCUCGCCUCGCAGAUUGAGCCACUGACUCCUCUCAGCCGUGUCUAUCAGCUGUGCAGAUGUCUUACGUAAAUAUUCUCUCUGCUUUCUGAUCCAGCCUUGCAGCUCAUUAAUAAUUUCAGGUCUUGGCAAGAAGCGAGCGCUGCCAUUUUCACGCUGGUUUGGGUUGUGUAGGAACCAACCAACUCACAUGUGAGUGUUAAGUGAGUUUUAAGCACUCCUGUGCAGGUGAGUUGGGGAGUUUAAGUGCCCGUUACUGACAUUUGUUCUUUGUGUGGAUAAAUCCUGUGCUUUGGGACCUAAACCAGCUCAUUCUUUGAACUCUUCCCAUAGAAGUAAGUAUCUUACCUAAGUGGCAUGUUUCACUUUCCCAAAUCUGCUUUACUUUGAUGUAAUUCCCUUUGACUAAUUGCAGAUUAUAUGAGUACCAUUGCUGCAAAUUUACUGUCUGCCAUUCACAUUAUUUUCCAUGUUGCUGAUUCUUAAAUGUACAUGGAAGCAACUAUACCUCUCAGGCUGAGAAGCAAACCUGCGCAGUAUCUCGGGCAUAAAACUCAGCAGACCAGCACAGAAAUCCGCAGCCUUCCCGUUCUGCUUUGUGCUUUCCGCAUACCAGAAGAGGCUGGUUUUUCCCCAUUUUUGGUGCCGACAGGUUCCUGCACCUCAGGGCUUGUCUGGGAAAGGGUUGAAGCAGCAAGUUGCUUUCAAUUGCACAUUUCUUUUUAGAUUCAAAUGUGUUAGAACAUAAAAUUAUGUUGGAAUUAAUUAUUUCUAGCAGUAUCAACUCAUGUUCUGUUGUGCCCUGUGGGUUUUUUGCGUGCAUCUUCCCUGCUCCCCUCACCCCCGCCUUGGUGGUUCUCUCCCAAAUCAGCUGUUGGUCAAGGAGAGAUCAUAGAAUCAUAGAAUCAUUUAGGUUGGAAAAGACCUUCAAGAUCAUCGAGUCCAACCAUCAUCCAUGCCGACUAGACCAUGUUGUGGAGUACCUUGACUACGCACUUUUUGAAUACCUCCAGGGAUGGUGACUCAACUGCUUCCCUGGGCAGCCUGUUCCAAUGUC